GGACGGGUGAGUAAUGCCUAGGAAAUUGCCCUGAUGUGGGGGAUAACCAUUGGAAACGAUGGCUAAUACCGCAUGAUGCCUACGGGCCAAAGAGGGGGACCUUCGGGCCUCUCGCGUCAGGAUAUGCCUAGGUGGGAUUAGCUAGUUGGUGAGGUAAGGGCUCACCAAGGCGACGAUCCCUAGCUGGUCUGAGAGGAUGAUCAGCCACACUGGAACUGAGACACGGUCCAGACUCCUACGGGAGGCAGCAGUGGGGAAUAUUGCACAAUGGGCGCAAGCCUGAUGCAGCCAUGCCGCGUGUGUGAAGAAGGCCUUCGGGUUGUAAAGCACUUUCAGUCGUGAGGAAGGUAGUGUAGUUAAUAGCUGCAUUAUUUGACGUUAGCGACAGAAGAAGCACCGGCUAACUCCGUGCCAGCAGCCGCGGUAAUACGGAGGGUGCGAGCGUUAAUCGGAAUUACUGGGCGUAAAGCGCAUGCAGGUGGUUUGUUAAGUCAGAUGUGAAAGCCCGGGGCUCAACCUCGGAAU
rnacentral:rRNA from 1 species